GACGAACCGUACGAACGUUAUUCGGAAUUACUGGGCUUAAAGGGUGCGUAGGCGGCGCAGUAAGUUGGGUGUGAAAUCCCUCGGCUUAACCGAGGAAUUGCGCCCAAAACUACUGUGCUCGAGGGAGAUAGAGGUGAGCGGAACUUAGGGUGGAGCGGUGAAAUGCGUUGAUAUCCUAAGGAACACCGGUGGCGAAAGCGGCUCACUGGAUCUCUUCUGACGCUGAGGCACGAAAGCUAGGGUAGCAAACAGG
rnacentral:rRNA from 1 species